AGUGAACGCUGGCGGCGUGCCUAAUACAUGCAAGUCGAACGCAGUGUUGCACGGGUGAGUAAUAUAUAGUUAUUCCGUCCUACACAGAGGAACAACAGUUUGAAACGGCUUCUAAUACCCCAUAGUGUAUGCUGAGACUAUAUCGUAUCCGAUAGUUGGUAAGGUAAUGGCUUACCAAGGCUAUCACGCGUAACUGGUCUGAGAGGAUGAUCAGACACAUUGGAACUAGGAAACAGUCCAAACUCCUACGGGAGGGAGCAGUAAGGAAUAGUGCGCAAUGGGGGAAACCCUGACGCAGCAACGCCGCGAGGAGGAUGACACUUUUCGGAGCGUAAACUACGUUUAUAAGGAAAGCGGUACCUAAUGAAUAAGCACCGGCUAACUCCGUGCCAGCAGCCGCGGUAAUUC
rnacentral:rRNA from 1 species